CAACAUCCCUAAUGCGCCUUGAAAUGAGGAACUCAAAAGUCACGUGUAAAGAAAAAAUCUCUGUGUAGUGAUAUUGGACAUGUUUCUAUUUUUAACAAAUGACUGAACUUAAUUAUUUGUGGUGAUUAGGAAAGUAGAGGAACAUAGAAUAAAUGUGUAAAAACUAUGGAGCUAUUGAAUGUGUUCAAAGUAUUAAAUUUUCAAAGAACUUAUUGUGUUAAAAAGGGGAUAUUUUACCACAAGGAGCCACAUCACAAACGGAUGUUCGGGGUUUGCUAAUUUACGGAAAAAGUAAUCUCACUUCGUACCCCGAAAAUUUAACCACAUAUGUGAAAAUGUCACAGCUUCGAAACGAGCUAUCAUACAUAUACAAGUUUACGAUAUGGACUGAGCUACAGGGAAAAACGUUACCAUUAUCGCCUAUGGAAAAACAAUUAAAGAUAUUGAGCCAAUUUACAAAAAGAUAAAUCAGAAGUUUCCAGAGUGAUCUAUGGAUGAUUUCACCUUAUACACCCGGGAAAAUUGUGAAAAUGAUGUUCCAGACAUAUCAUUACUUUUUAACCUGAGAUGACAAACUAGAGGUUUUAAAAGGUCCUGAAUAACUGAAAUGGACAAAAAUACACAGAUUUAUUCAGAAUGUCAUACCCAUGAAGAUCACAUAAAAAUAUUUGGAAAAAUCAGAACUAUGGAUUGCAAUAU